rnacentral:rRNA from 1 species
AGUAAUGUAUGGGGAUCUGCCUGAUGGCGGGGGAUAGCUACUGGAAACGGUAGCUAAUACCGCAUAAUGUCUGCGGACCAAAGCGGGGGACCUCCGGGCCUCGCGCCAUCAGAUGAACCCAUAUGGGAUUAGCUAGUAGGUAAGGUAACGGCUUACCUAGGCGACGAUCCCUAGCUGGUCUGAGAGGAUGAUCAGCCACACUGGGACUGAGACACGGCCCAG